GGGAGAAGAUGGAAGCCAGUGUUCUUUUAAUUGUGUCACAAGUUGUCAAACAGAACAUUUGUGGUUUUGAGUUGACGUAUCCAUGUAAUUUAAGCAAGAGGGGGCGUUCUAAUACCCCAAUGUAUAAAACUGUGUUCUGAAGUUUUGGAGAUAGAGAUCAAUGCUGUCUGCGUACAGAAUUCAUCUCUCCACAUGUGUUAUUAAAUCAUUCGUUGACUCCAACUGACUGGGUCAGUGUGUUAUUCUGAUCUCCACCAUCUCUCUCUCCUCAAAAUGAACCUUAACAUUUGGGGGCCUCGUCCGGUGUUGGAGGGGGAGAGAAUGUGUUUGGAGGUGUAGACGGAGUCAGACGGGCAGGCAUUGGUCAGUGGUCGAAAGUGAGUGACAAGCCGGCAUACAUCUAGAGGUAAGGCACUACCUGUUGAAUUAUUUCCGAAUUGUGCCAGAUUGGAUAUUACAAAAUUAAAAGUCUACUCACUGAAAUUACUGGUAGAUGUCUGUUUUGAUUUUGGUGAAAAUCUUAUGAGAAUUAAAGUUGAAAUAACGUUAAUGAUAAUGAAAGUGAUAAAGUACAGUACUGAGGUUUUAAAGCAGUUGGACUGCUGAGACAGUUAAAGCAGUUGGACUGCUAAUUUAGUGUGGUAGGGAAUUUGGUCAUUUUGUGGGUUAGAGUCCCAAUUGGUCAGACAGGUUGGACCUGCUUCAGUCAUACCCUUUUCUGGGGGGGUUAACUGUUGUUUCAAAGUAAUUAAAUUAUUUUAGGACGGGACUAGGUCCUAGGAAGCGCAUUGCUCAGAGGUAACGCUUGCCAACGGUUCGGACGCGCGCCGUUGUCCUCUGUGAGGGAUAGUCAGCUGGCUACUGUGGAAUUUGGGGCACUCAAGAACAGCUAGUGGUUGGACCACUUUACCAUUUGGAACGGUAUCUGCGCUUUUUUGGGCAGCAAAGGUUGGACCUUGGGUGUUGGACACUUUUAAAUUGAGUUAGGGAUCUUAGAAAUUGGGCCAGAAACUGUUGGACAGAUACUGGUUAAUUGAUUACAAAAAAGUUGGACUUCAUCGGUUGGACCGUUAACUUAAAUUUGUCAAAAUUACAUAGGUUUUUAAAAGGCCUAAAAUCUGUGCAGUUGUAAUUAAAAGACGUCUGUGUAAUAUAAAAUAAGAAAUGUUUGUGUGAAGGGAGUCUCUGUGUCAGCAGUGCACUCCCUGUUGACUUUUAUUUUUAGAUUGUGUGUGAGAAUGCAAAUGAGGCAGCUGCUGCGGAGCGCAUGAGAGGAUUGUUGCUUUCGGUUUCGUGUGUUAUCUAGCUUGAUAACUAUUGUUUGUAGAUGUUCUCAAAUGCCUGUGACUGAGAUGCUGGUUUUGCUCAUUAGAAUUGUAUAAAUAGAGUUUGAAUUCAUUACUGUGGAUGUGUAGUAAUUGACUGAGUUUGAUAUAUAUAUAUAUUGAGUGCAGUGUACAGGACCUAAGACCAACAUAUUACGUUAAGUAGUAACCUCUCUUGAGCAAUAAAUGCUGGUGUGUUUUAAUUUUUUUUUCAGUUAUGUGUGUGCCGUGAGAAGCUGUGAGGAUGAUGAGAGGUUUCAGUUGUUUUUCUUUGACUUGCUCUUUCUGAUUAUGAAAAGCAUGUCUAAAAUACUCAUAUGAAAGUGUAUUUUGAGUGAUUUUAACCGUGUGAAUGCUGUCAGUAUUUGAUUUGAGUGACUCUGCGUGAUUUGUCUGAGUGAGUGAAAAAGUGGAAGUUUGAGAGAAAAGGCAGUGUGUGUGAGACGAUUCAUGAUGUCUGAACGAGGUUAGAAUAUUUAAAAGUGUGCAUGAAAUAAGGGUGUAUUGUUUUUAGACAAAGAUUUAUUAGAACUAAAGAGGGUUUAUAGACUGUAAAUAUAGAAAGCAAGAGUUUGAUUAAUCUGUAGAAACAGGAAAGAGAGACAGAAAAUACUGUGCUGCUGUGUGUGAGAGGAAGUGGUGGUUGUGAGAGGAACUUUGCAUGCCCAUAAAAAGGAGCUGACUACGAGUUAAACUCUAAGAAGAUGAAG
ensembl:lncRNA